UCCAUGGGAUCUUCCUGACUCGGGGAUUGCACUUACUUGCGUCUCCUGCAUUGGCAGGCAGAUUUCUUACCACUGAGGCACCAGGGAAGCCCCAUAUACGUGAAGAUAUAUAUCUCUGCUUCACCUGGAAUUUCACCUGGGUAAAGCUGGCAGGAUCAGAUGAACAUUUCAAACACAGAAAUAGCUCAUAUCUAGACGGGUGCCUUUGCUUGGCUUCUAGUCCUGCCUUGUACACCAGUGACAGAGCCAAGGUAACUGAGUCAUGGAAACUGCAUACUAAGUUGGGCAAAAGGAAAGCAUUAGGUUUGUACUACAGAAGCAUGCCGGCAGCGACAGACCAUGCAGAAGCCUGGCUGAGAGGAGCCACCCCUCGCCCAAGGUCAGGGGCGGCAACUGAGAGGAGCUAGAGUUAAUAGAGUUUUGCUGAGAAUGCACUGGUCAUAGCAAACACCCUCUUCCAACAACACAAGAGAAGACUCUAUACAUGGACAUCACCAGAUGGUCAACACUGAAAUCAGAUUGAUUAUAUUCUUUGCAGCCAACAAUGGAGAAGCUCUAUACAGUCAGCAAAAACAAGACCAGGAGCGGACUGUGGCUCAGAUCAUG
ensembl:lncRNA